rnacentral:lncRNA from 1 species
AAUAUUUCCUUCUAAGGAUUUUCUUCAGAGGCCAUUGGAUUUUGGUGAGCUUUGUUUUCACUUGAUUAGGGCAACUGAGUUUCAAGCCCUUUUGCCUUCACAAAUUCAAAUAUAUUAAUUCACAUUUCACUUAAUUUGUCCAUUUGUCCAUUUGUUUCUGAGAAACUGAUGACGAGGAAGCAUGUGCAGAAAGUCUGAAUGUGUGUGUGUAUUUGAGGGGCCAUGGGAUACUGUUGGCUACAAACAAACAUGAAUCAUAUUUAUUUUCUUAUAUGAGAAGAAGUUUGGAUAUGGAGGGUCACUAGUGUUGAUUUAACUGAUUAAGAAUGUCACAAAAGAUUCAGGUUCUGUUCUGCUGCCCUUCAUACAUGGUAGCCCUAUGUGCUGGCUACAUUUGUCCUUUUCAUCAGAAAAAGCAAAAGCCCUUCCAGAAUCUUCUCUAGUAAAUGCUUGCUUAAGUACAUUGGCUAGAAGUGUGUUUUUCUUCCCCCCAUAGCUGGGAGGCAGAGGAACUGAGAACCUGUCCUAAAACCCCUAAUGGAAGCAAACAGAGAAGAAGGGAAUACAAACAUUAUUAUAUUUGCUACCAAAGCAAACAUAAAGAAUACUUUACAAUCAUUAUGCAAAAAUUAUAUUCCAAGGCAUCUUGACAUCUACCAUAUUAAUUAACAGAAAUACACAUUUCCUUACUGAAUGAUAAUUGAGGUUCUUCUAUAUUUCAGGCUAAUUAUUUAAAAACUUAAUUGUUCAUUCAUUCUUUAAACAUGUUUGAAUGACAGCUGGUGGCCAGAUACUAUACUACUAAACACUAUGGAUAAAUAAAUAAACUGUUCAUAGUUUUCUUUCUCGGGAAGGAGAAAAACCAUAAAACAAAAUUAGUUAUAGUAUGUGGUAGGUAGAAAAAUGCUCCUACCCAAAAACGUUCACAUCUUAAUCUUGCGAACAUGGUAUGUUUCACAGCAAAAGAGAAUCAAGGCAGCAGAUGGAAUUAUCGUCACUAAUCAGCUGGCUUGGAGAUAUGGAGAUGGUUAUGGAUUAUUCAGGUGGGUCCAAUCUAAUAACAUGAGUCCUUAAAUACAGAGGAAGAGACAGAGGGGAUGUCAGAGAGCCAAGACAUGAGAAGGACUUGACUUCCAUGUCUGCAACAGUGGAGGAAAAGGGCCAAGAACAAAAGAUGUGGCAGUCUCUAGAUGAGAACAUCCCUCAGCCUACAGCCAGCAAGAAAACAGGAACCUUAGUCCUACAACUGCAAGGUUCUAAAUUCUGCCAACAAUCUGAAUGAGUCUGGAUGAGGAUUCUUCCCCAGAGAUUCUAGAAAGGGAUGGAGACAACCAGCACCUUAAUUUUAGCCCAGUGAGACUUGUUAUCUAUGUAACUAUAAGAUGAAAAGGUUAUGCCGUUUUAAAGCACUAUGUUUGCAGUAAUUUGUUAAGGCAGCAAUAGAAGACUAAUAUAGAGUUAUAUGUUAAUGGCCACAUUAAACAAAAUAUAUAUCAUGACAAAGGCUUAAGAAACAUCUGGAAUAUUUGGAUGUCUUGGAUGUUAAGAAUCUUGGGUCUGAUCAAUUUUCGUAGAAGCUCUAUUUAUAAGCACAAGAAAUUGGAAACAAGCCAAAUGUCUUUCAGCUGAUGAAUGGACAAACCAAUUGUGGCAUAUCCAUACAAUGGAGUACAAUGCAGCAUCAAAAAGAAACACACCGUAGACACCUGCAACAACUUGGAUUAAUCUCAGAGGGAUUAUGGUGCUGGCCAUGCAGGGACUUGGUCUCUGAAUGAGAUGAAGAGCCAUUAGCCUAUGAGCAGAGGAGCAGCAUAACAGGACUUCCGUUUUCAAGACACCUCUUUGGCUGUGAUGUUAGGAAUGAGGUAGAAACAGGGAGACCAGUUAGAAGGUUGUCACCAUAAUCAAGGUACCAGCAUGGGAGGGGUGAAAAGCAAUCAGCCUCCGGAUAUACUUUAAAGAGAGAAGAAACGGAAGAAUCAUCCAUGGAGUUAAGGUGAAAGCAGCACAAAUAGAGGAAAGUUUUAAAAAAAUUGUUCACUAGGGAGGUAUUUCCUGAAUAGAACUUCCUAACUGCAGCUACAGACCAUGUUAAAAGUGAUUGAUUUGCCUUAGCUACUGGCACAAAAUAUGGAGAGCAUUUCAAAAAGGUUCUUUAUAGUAAAACUUUGUUUUUCCUCUA